UACGUAGGGGGCUAGCGUUGUCCGGAAUCAUUGGGCGUAAAGAGCGUGUAGGCGGUCCGGUAAGUCCGCUGUGAAAGUCGGGGGCUCAACCCUCGAAUGCCGGUGGAUACUGUCGGGCUAGAGUGCGGAAGAGGCGAGUGGAAUUCCUGGUGUAGCGGUGAAAUGCGCAGAUAUUCGGCGGAACACCAGUGGCGAAGGCGACUCACUGGCCCGAUACUGACGCUGAGGCGCGAAAGCGUGGGGAGCAAACAGG
rnacentral:rRNA from 1 species